rnacentral:rRNA from 1 species
UACGUAGGGGGCAAGCGUUGUCCGGAAUUAUUGGGCGUAAAGAGCGCGUAGGCGGUCCGGUAAGUCGGCUGUGAAAGUCAAGGGCUCAACCCUUGAAAGCCGGCCGAUACUGUCGGACUAGAGUCCGGAAGAGGAGAGUGGAAUUCCUGGUGUAGCGGUGAAAUGCGCAGAUAUCAGGAAGAACACCUAUGGCGAAGGCAGCUCUCUGGGACGGUACUGACGCUGAGACGCGAAAAGCGUGGGGAGCGAACAGG